rnacentral:rRNA from 1 species
UACAGAGGGUGCAAGCGUUAAUCGGAAUUACUGGGCGUAAAGCGUGCGUAGACGGUCAUGUAAGUCGGGUGUGAAAGCCCCGGGCUCAACCUGGGAAUUGCAUUCGAGACUGCAUGGCUAGGGUGCGGAAGAGGGAAGCGGAAUUUCCGGUGUAGCGGUGAAAUGCGCAGAUAUCAGGAAGAACACCCGUGGCGAAAGCGGCUCUCUGGAACGGUACUGACGCUGAGACGCGAAAGCGUGGGGAGCGAUCCGG